rnacentral:rRNA from 1 species
CCUGAACGCUGGCGGCGUGGCUAAGACAUGCAAGUCGAACGGGACCCGCAAGGGUUCAGUGGCGGACGGGUGAGUAAUGUAUCGCUAAUGUGCCCCGGAAUUUGGGAUAGCUAGCCGAAAGGCUAGGUAAUACCAGAUGAUAUACCUUGAAGGCAUCUUCGAGGUCUCAAAGGAGUAAUCCGGUCUGGGAGCAGGCGAUAUCGUAUCAGCUAGUUGGUGAGGAACGGCUCACCAAGGCGACGACGCGUAGCCGGGCUGAGAGGUUGGCCGGCCACAUUGGGACUGAGACACUGCCCAGACUCCUACGGGGGGCUGCAGUAACGAAUCUUCCACAAUGCACGAAAGUGUGAUGGAGCGACGCCGCGUGUAGGAUG